GCCGGGUGUGGUGGUGGGUGCCUGUAAUCCCAGCUACUUGGAGGCUGAGACAGAAGAAUUGCUUGAGCCUGGGAGAUGGAGGCUGCAGUGAGCCAAGAUUGUGUCACUGCACUCCAGCCUGGCCAACAGAGUGAGAUUCUGUUUCAA
rfam:Pan troglodytes isolate Yerkes chimp pedigree #C0471 (Clint) chromosome 7, whole genome shotgun sequence.